rnacentral:rRNA from 1 species
GCGUAUAUUAAAGUUGUUGCGGUUAAAAAGCUCGUAGUUGGAUUUCUGUCGAGGACGGUCGGUCCACACUUUGUGUGAGUAUCUGAUUCGGCCUUGGCAUCCUCCUGGGGAACGUUUCUGCGCUUGAUUGCGUGGAGCGGAAUUCAGGACUUUUACUUUGAGGAAAUUAGAGUGUUCACGGCAGGCAAACGCCUUGAAUAUAUUAGCAUGGAAUAAUAAUAUAGGACCUUUGUUCUAUUUUGUUGGUUUCUAGAGCGAAGGUAAUGAUUAAUAGGGAUAAUUGGGGGCAUUCGUAUUAACGCGUCAGAGGUGGAAUUCUUGGAUUGCGUUACGACGAACUACUGCGAAAGCAUUUGCCAAGGAUGUUUUCAUUGAUCAAGAACGAAAGUUAGGGGAUCGAAGACGCUUAGAUACCGUCGUAGUCUUAACCAUAAACUAUGCCGACUAGAGAUUGGAGGUCGUUCUUUUUAUGACUCCUUCAGCACCUUAUGAGAAAUCAAAGUCUUUGGGUUCCGGGGGGAGUAUGGUCGCAAGGCUGAAACUUAA